GCGUGAGGACGUCCAGCGAUGCUCUAGCACAGGUUUUCUGUGCUAGGGACACGAAAGUGCCCUCUAGUGGCUGUCUACUAGACAGACACUAAAGGUGGAGUUAACCCUUCAAGGUAAUAAUUGCAGUUAAUAAAACACUUGCAGGGUUAAGAGUAGUGGGAGUUGGUACCCAGACAACUCCAAUGGGCAGAAGUGGUCUGGGUGCCUUGAGUGUCCCUUUAAAUUGGUAAAUGUGGAGAACUGACAAAGAAAAUGCAUUUUGUUUUGUUAGAAUAGCCGACCUGUAGGCAAAGC